ensembl:lncRNA
AUGUCUCCACCUCUUCCCUCCCCACUCCAGUUGACGGCUCAGCGUCCCUCUGGGCUUUCCUCCCAGUCAGGCUCAGACAGUGCUCCACAGUGUCUCCUGCUGGAGAGGCGUGGCGAAGCUGAAGCUGAAGCUCAGCAGGUUCAGGAGCGUACAGUGGAUAUCAGCUCCCCGCAGGACCAUGUGCCCUCCCAUCCAGGGUCACCAGUAGACCCCCUGGCUGAGAUGCUGGUCAAUGGAGACAGCCACACCAAAGCUCAAAGCCCUGCGGCAAGCCGCAUGUCUUCCCCACGCUGCCCUCGUUCACCGUGCUCGCCUCCUCCACGCACUGCAUCUUCCCCUCGUUCUCCUCGCAGCCCUGUGUUUGCCAAUGGCCGUCUUUCCCCUCCUGUUAACAACCAAAGGGAUCUAAGUAAUGGAAAUUUCCUCAAGCUAAAAGACAAUGAGAAUGACUCUAUCCCCACUCCCUGUGUCACAGAGCCUCAGUUGAAGGGGGAAGACCCUAGAGAAGUGAACCUGACCCCAGAACAGAUCACUAGCCCAGCCUCCUCCACCCCGCUGGCUGCCCCCCGUAAAGACCCAAGCCGCAGGCAAAGUCGAAUCCCUGUGUUGGAGCCCUCAGCCCUCCUGGAGCUCCCUCCACCAGGAUCCGCCAAGGAGAAGCUCUUACAAAAGAAAGCCAGCCACCAAGGCCAGGUCCCCUCACCCACUGCCUCGCCAUCCCUUUCUGAUAGGCGUGGCCCAAUGGUAGCCUCCCUCACUAGAGAUCCACUGUCCUCCACCUCUGACCGCUCUCAGGAAGAGGACUCUCUUAUGGGCUCCCGUUCUGACCGCCAGGGAGACGACGCUCCGUCUCUCUCCUCCUCCUCUAGCCCACUGUCCCGCAAAAGCAGGAUCCCUCGUCCCGUUCAGGCAGCUUCUUCUGCUGAGCAACUGGCUGCUCAAUUCAUGCCGCGUCCACCUCCUGGAAAACCACCGUGUCGCCCCACAGUGGAGGGCAGGCUUAGACGUUACCGCAUCCGAGCUGGCAGCACCAGUGACUCAGAACUGCUGACGUGUAUUGCUCAGCUAAUGCAUGGCUCCCGUGGCUCCCCCCUUCACCACCGCUCCUCUGCCCAGCACGGGGGCUCCAGGAUGGGCGUCUGCAGCCUGACGAGCUCUCCGCACCACCACCGCAGCUCGAGCGCCUCCCCCCGCAGCUCCUCCUCCCUGCAGCGCUCGGUCAGCUCCUCGCCCUCUCGCCACGAGCACCGUGGCGGCGGGGGAGGGGCUGCUUCGGCCGCAGCCGCUCACCCCCUAGCUUCUCCGGCUCGCCGCCUCCCCGCCGCUUCUACCCCCACCACCAGGAUACAUGCUGUAGCCGGCAGGCGCGCACGAGCCCGUUCCACCUGUCUAGAGGAAAAGGCUGCAGCAAAGAGAGCAAGUGCUCCAGCAAGCUGAGUAGAUAGAUCCCGACCAGGUUGAGUUGCCAUAGCAGAGAAGUUGUAAUAGGAUAGACAUCAGUCAGUGAGUCUUCCUGUAUAAUCAGUAAAAUAGUCUGAACUUUACUCCUCUCACAGUUUCUCAGUGUUCUCUUCGCUCCUUCUGUUUGUGCAUAGGCUUUGUCAUUCAGUAUGUGUCCAGCUUUCAAAUACCACCCCAGUGAUUGUAGUUUUGCACUAAGGCUGCCGGACUCGUGGAAAACAUAUUUUAAAAGAGACUUUUAUAAAUCUUUGUGGCACAAGCCGGGAUAUCCAGAAAUUUUAGUCCACCCCCAAAAAUGCUGCCUUUCCCAAAACUCUGAGGACAUUAAAUACUUGUUCACAAGCUGAAUGACGAUGCAUGACUAGCAGACUGAACUUGAAUUGGUGGAGUACGUCCUUUAUGAUAAUUUACCAAACAGGCAAUGUUGUGUCAGGGUCUUCUUUUCAUUUUUACAAUCAAUGCUGUAGUUUAAACUGUUCAUGCAGCGAUUUAAGACAUAAAUAAGAAGUUAGUUGGACCAGUGGGCACAUAUAUAAAAGUCUGUCCUGCACCGCAAUAUAUUAGAACUUAUUUAUCCCCAGCAUUAAUGCAUUCGAAUCAUACUGAUGGAAUUUGCAACUCUAAUUAUUGGCCGGGGGGCCUAACUCAGAUCAGGCAGGGUAUAACAUUUUCUUUCUGCUAAAUGUGAAUGCAUAAAAGGCAGAAUUUGUGUACAGUUUUAUUUAUUGAGAUAUUUAUUUUGAUGCUUAGCAAUGCUUACGACUCCUAUCCUCUCGCGUGUGAUCGUUAAAGUGUGGUUUUUGUGCAUUCGUUUUUAAAAUGAGGGGAUCGCUCAAAGUGACCCUUUAUACAAUCAGUCAUGUAAAGCAUGUGAGGACACACACCUUUUUGUGCCUACUGUGUUGCUGAGAGGGAAUCUGAAAUGUCACACUGGAGUGAAGGAAUUAGAGGUUAGACUUGUGAAGUUUUAGUAGCAGUAGUAAGUUUAAACGACUCAAGGUGCACUGACGUUCGUCUUAGCGCGUGCCUUGGCACUUCGGGCAGCUUGAAGAUUCACUUUGGUGUGUUUGUAAUUAGGGGAGGAAAAAAAACAACAACAAAAAACCAAGAGCCAAAAAACAGACUUGUGCCAGCGGUUAUAAGACAACCCUUUUCAUUCAUUUAUGUAGAAAAGGUAGCAACACAAAUGUUUGUUAAUCAAACAGAAUUUGAGCAGCAGUUUACUUAAGGACAAAGUAGCUAUUAUUUGUAACAAGAAAUAUUAGCUGUCCUGUGUACGUACCAGGCCAGUGUUUGAGAUAAAACUCUGAACAAAUGUGAAUUUCAGACCUCAAAAAAAUUUUUUUGUCAAAUGUUAUUGAAAACGGAGGGCAUAUGUACAUAUUUCUCACACCAAAACGAUGCUCCAUGCCUCCAUGUGCGAGAAUGUUUUAUUUCCGUUCCUGUUUCUCCUGCACCGGAGAAUGUCUUUUAUAUAACGGCAUACAGCAUACGGCUUGUGCACAAGGUAAAGAAGCCAGAGUGUUGUUUGUGUUCAGUUUUUAGUUAGGAUUCCUCACUGAAGCUCUCCUCCAUAACCUAUUCCCACUCCUCUGCUUGUAAGAUACUGUAAAAUAACUUCAGCUUCCUUCCAGUGCUUCUCUUUGCAUGCUCAACAGAGAAAAAAAAUCCAAAUCGACUACUGAGUAAAAAAGCUGCGUAACACUCAUCAUCACAUUUACCACAUUGGCCAUUUCCUGUUAGGCGAAUCUCUAAAUCUUCUUUGCCUCAUAUUAAAGAUUUGUUUUCUUACCUGAUGUUAGUUUUCUGCACCGACCUGGGAUGAUUCCAUCAUUGCAUAUAAUUGUAGUGACAUGCAAAAAUAAAAGGAGAAUAGACUUUCCUGCAUUUUACAGCCUUGCGUUGUACUCACGAGCUGAAAGCCUGAUGGUAGUCCCAGUCAUAAACCACAUUGCCAAAUAUUUUGAUAUACUUUGCAGUUUGAGUUGAGAUGAGAGCGUCUUGUUUUUGUCGAUAUUAAACAAUUUCGUCUGGCUCAUGUAGAUUUCGCAGGUACCUACGCUAGCCUCACAGAGCAGCUAUGAUGACUCAUCCUGAAGGCAGACAUCGUUCAGUCAGUCAGCCGCCUUAACGUCUCUUCUCUGCCCCUCUGUGCAUAGCGAGGGAUGACUGAGCCUUGUCUGUGUUGGAGAUCAUUCCAGUAUUAGGCCAAGCCAAGCCUUUCUUUCUCUCUCUUAUCUCUCGGUCUAUAAAUGGCAUGUGCUACCAUGCAAACCCUCGCCACUGAAAUCAGUGCUGACAGACUUCUGUGUCAGAGCCGGAGCGCUCCACUGUGAGAAUGUGUGGACCAUUUACUGAUUGACUGGUUGAAAUUGGAGAAUUUCAGGGUGCCGUAUUCAAGGUGUGUUUGCAGUGUGAUAGCUGUAUGCUUUCAAAUGGCUGUGCAAUUUAUGCGUCGCCAGCGAGCAGUCUUUGAAUUCCCCCUCUUUCAAGUCCCAAUUUCAAGGCUUUGAAGUUCAGAACGCUGUUGUGCAGACUUUUAAUAUAUACCUGUAAAAUAUUGAAAGUAAUAUUUAAAUAAUAUCAUUAUCGUACAAAUAUGACAUAUAUGCUAACGGGCUUCAAUGAAAGGGAAGAACAGACACUAAACAGUGUGCUGCUGAUUUUAAAAGAUAAUCAGAUUUCUUAUCAUGGGUUUUAUUAUUAUUAUCUCACAAGUGGUGUGUAGUCGUAGGAUUAGUGUUACCUUCCAGAUGAGAUUUUUCUUUGUCACUUUUAAAAGUGGCUCGCUAUUAGAAAGUGUCAUAUUUAUAGUAGCUUGUUGGGGUUUUUUGUGGUUACACAAAUCCACAGACCAACAGAAUAAAGCCAGCUGUUUUGUUUUAUUUUGAAAAGUGAGAUGGAAACUAAUAAAAGCUUUGGUGUGCUCUUGUACACUUCUCAUGUCAUGAUAUUGAAUUACUUAUAAAUACAUGACAGAAAUUAUUUAUUGUGACUUUUGCUAAUUUGCCCAUCUGUCAUUUUCACUUGAGUUGUUGGGAUUUUUUCAAUGGUUGAUAUUUUUGUGUUGUAAUGUAUGUCGUUGUUUUGAAAUGUAACUGUACAGUCUCAAGGAAAGAAUGUAACAAGCGGGAGUUUUGCAUUGUAUAUACCUGUAAUUAUUUAUGUUAAUUCUAUUAUUUGUAUCAUAUCAAUGCCUUGUACAGUGUUUUGUUUCUUUUUGUUUUCAAAUUAUUUUGUAUUUUAUUUUUAUAAACUGGUUACAAAUAAAAUACUCAUUCCGCAUGCAGAAAGAAUUUUGUGACAGAUUCCUGUUUAUAAUCCUGAAAUGUUGGACACUGAGCAAGCAUACGCAUAUUAAAAUUGCUAAUUUAUAAAGUGCUUCUUUUUAAUUGAAAUAAAACCACUGGGCAUUCAAACUGUUGUUUUUUUGAAAGAGACAAAAAAAAGCAUCCAACAAAACAUAAAAAGUAACUGAGUUAAUAACAUUGUGCUUUUAAGGUUACAUUGAGAAUUAAAAACAAGUAAAAAGGAUUUAUUCAUUGUUUCUUUUUUAUGUAAAUGUGGAAUUAGUCCCAAAAUUAAAUAAAAUAUAUCACAAUUUUUGAAGAUUGCAUUCAAAAGUCAGCAAUGCUUUGUGUAUCUUAAUACAAUAUGCUUUAGACUCAAUCAUGGGUCUCAAAUUUUAGAAGGUCUGGUUAAAUAAAUAAACAUAUAGAGAUAGACACC